rnacentral:snRNA from 1 species
ACAUUGUCAAGAACCGUUUUCAAC